rnacentral:lncRNA from 12 species
AAGAAGGGUGUGAUCUUUUUAUUCACUCCCUUUCAAGGACCUCGGACAUCAAUUUAGUUUUCUACAUUCCUGUGGCUGUUGCUCCCAUUGCUUAACUGUUUUGUUCUCUGUCUUAUUAUUUGGAACCUUGCUCCUGUUAUUCAUUGGUUGCCCACUUCCAUACGUAAAAUUCUUCUUAUACAUAACAUAAGUGUCACUUUGGAGCCAGCGCUUAUUUUCCUGAAAGGAAUCACAGGGCUGACAGGAUGUACUUGCUCAGCCUGUUCCUCUCCAUGUGGUAUGCAUAAAUCUGCAGGUCAUUUCAAGCACAGUAACCUCUGCCUGGCAUAUAAGCCCCAAAAGUCCUGGUAAGUGGUGCAUACAUAAGGCAAAUAAUUUCCUGAGUUCACCUUUAAUUCCAGCAUAGAA